rnacentral:rRNA from 1 species
AGAUUCUUGGAGGUAGAGCACUGUUUGGGUGAGGGGUCCAUCCCGGAUUACCAAUCUCAGAUAAACUCCGAAUGCCAAUGAAUUAUGGUCGGCAGUCAGACUGCGAGUGCUAAGAUCCGUAGUCGAAAGGGAAACAGCCCAGACCACCAGCUAAGGUCCCAAAAUAAUUGUUAAGUGGAAAAGGAUGUGGGGUUGCACAGACAACUAGGAUGUUAGCUUAGAAGCAGCUAUUCAUUCAAAGAGUGCGUAAUAGCUCACUAGUCGAGUGACCCUGCGCCGAAAAUGUACCGGGGCUAAAACAAUUUACCGAAGCUGUGGAUACCUAUUAUAGGUAUGGUAGGAGAGCGUUCUAUGUGUGAAGAAGGUAUACCGUGAGGAGUGCUGGAACGCAUAGAAGUGAGAAUGCCGGUAUGAGUAGCGAAAGACAGGUGAGAAUCCUGUCCACCGUAAGACUAAGGUUUCCAGGGGAAGGCUCGUCCGCCCUGGGUUAGUCGGGACCUAAGGAGAGACCGAAAGGUGUAUCCGAUGGACAACAGGUUGAUAUUCCUGUACUAGAGUAUGUAGUGAUGGAGGGACGCAGUAGGCUAACUAAAGCGUGCGAUUGGAAGUGCACGUCUAAGCAGUGAGGUGUGAAUUGAGUUAAAUGCUUAGUUCUAUAACAUUGAGCUGUGAUGGGGAGCGAAGUUUAGUAGCGAAGUUAGUGAUGUCACACUGCCAAGAAAAGCUUCUAGCGUUAAACAUACUCUACCCGUACCGCAAACCGACACAGGUAGUCGAGGCGAGUAGCCUCAGGUGAGCGAGAGAACUCUCGUUAAGGAACUCGGCAAAAUGACCCCGUAACUUCGGGAGAAGGGGUGCUGACUU